rnacentral:rRNA from 1 species
UACGGAAGGCAGCAGUGGGGAAUAUUGCACAAUGGGCGCAAGACUGAUGCAGCCAUGCCGCGUGUAUGAAGAAGGCCUUCGGGUUGUAAAGUACUUUCAGUCGUGAGGAAGGUGUUAAGGUUAAUAACCUUAGCAAUUGACGUUAGCGACAGAAGAAGCACCGGCUAACUCCGUGCCAGCAGCCGCGGUAAUACGGAGGGUGCGAGCGUUAAUCGGAAUUACUGGGCGUAAAGGGCACGCAGGCGGUUAAUUAAGUUGGAUGUGAAAUCCCCGGGCUUAACCUGGGAAUGGCAUUCAAGACUGGUUAGCUAGAGUCUUGUAGAGGGGGUAGAAUUCCAUGUGUAGCGGUGAAAUGCGUAGAGAUGUGGAGGAAUACCGGUGGCGAAGGCGGCCCCUGGACAAAGACUGACGCUCAUGUGCGAAAGCGUGGGGAGCAAAC